CUUCCCCGCUGGGCUCAACAAAGCGGCGAUCCAUUUCCAGAGACAGCAAAAGUCGAGAGGUUGAGCCCUUCGACUGCCGCUCUCGUCCCGGCGAGCGGCGUGACGAGACUCCCCUCCUCUUCCGCCGCCGCCGGCGACGGCGAAGAUCUUGAAGAAGAAAGCGGGCAGCAUAAAGAGUGGGUGAAGGAGCAAAACCAGACGAUAGCCACGUUAUCCGCCACCAAGGCGAGCCUUCACAGUGUAUUCUGGAGGCGAGGAGCCGCUACCAGAGGCUGAGAGAAGC